UAAUUGAUUUUCUGUAACAUAAGCUUUUUGGUGCUUCUGUGCAGCAUCCUCGUUUCUUCUCUGGUAUUCUUUCUUUCAGUUUAAUUGGUGCUGGCGGUUUGCUAUGAAGGUUAUAUUAUGACUCCUCUUGGUGAGAUGUUUUGUAAAAUUGUUGAUGAGAGGUUCCUUUUCUUCAUAUUUCAAGAAUUUUGAGGUGGUGGCUUAUGUAAUUGGGUUAAUUCUGUUCAGUUUGCUGGGUUUGAUGUCCAGAACUCAAGAAUUCAAGUGUAAUACUCUGGGUUAUUUGCAUAACUUGAUGCUGAUGGAAAAUGGCAAUCUUGAGAAAGUUGUGAUGUUCUGCACUUAGGGGGUUAUUUAUUUUAGUAUGCUGGAUCGGUUUGAUUUCAGAUGGUAUUAUUCUAUUUAGUAAUUGUUGUGACUUGUCUGCAUAUGCAGCUCGGUGGAUGGGUUGAAGGGCCGGUUGUUGCAAUUAUAGGAAAUGUGUUGAAGUGCUUAUCUCAAUCCAUUAUUUUCUCACAUGAUGAAUUCUCAGUUGAUCGGGCUUCGGGGAAACAGUUAUCUCUAUUUGGCCUUAGGUUCACAGAUGGUCGUUACGUUUUUGGGAAAACAGGUUUCCAUUUUAAUUUGAAGACAAGUUCCAAUUCUUUUAAUUGUGGUGGCAUGUAUUAACUUGUAUGGUGACCAAGUUGUGUCUGCCUGCCUUUUUGGGAUGUCUGGUAAUUCGUUUUGCUUGAUUUCGGUAAGGUAACUGGUUGAAUGCUGCAGCGCAUCUACAACAAAAGUUGGUUUCUCAUAUCCCACUCUAUCUGAAUAUAGAAGCUGAGGCCAGUUUGAAUUAGGACUGCCUGGGGCCAGAUCACUAUUUUAGCAGAUGUGCGAUUUGACUUGGUUUGAUAUUGUUUUUUAGAGGCUUGCUUUCAUGAAUAUUGGCUCAAUUGUUACAAAUUUUGUGCCCUUAGGUGUUGUGACGUGCUUUUCAUGGAGGCAAUGAUGCAGGCAUGGGUGGUACUAUUUUGAUGUUCCUCUUGAGAUUGCUGGUUUCUUCCUGGUCUAUGUUGAACCAUUUUUUAUCAGUUGCAUAUAAUUUAUUGGAUCAUUGGCACUAAUCUCGACGAGUAUAUGAAGUAGCUAUUUUGACUGGAUUGGUUAUGGAGUUGUCUUGUAGCCAUAGCGGUUUAUUGUAGUUAUUUUGGGAUAUCUACUGUAUUCUCUCACUUUUAGUUAUGUGCUUUUUGUUUAGGUUUUUCAUUUGGUACUUGCGGCAUUUCGGAAUGGUUGAAGAUAGUUGUGCCAGAUUGCAAUCACAACUUAAAUUGGGGUUUUCUCUAGUUUGGGGCAUCUUUUAUGUUACCUUCCCUUAUAUUCCACUUUCCAUUUGACAUUUUUAAUUAAGUUGAAGAUAGUUGUGCCAGAUUGCAAUCACAACUUAAAUUGGGGUUUUCUCUAGUUUGGGGCAUCUUUUAUGUUACCUUCCCUUAUAUUCCACUUUCCAUUUGGCAUUUUUAGUUAAGUUUAAAUUUGGAGUUUCGGAGAUGAGAGGCCAUUAUUGUUAUUUGUUGGGGUAUUUGAUUAUAGGUGCAUUAAAGAUUUGAAGAAUGGUAUCUGUUUUCUGGUUCAAUCGGAUGGUCUGUUUCUCAAAUCAUACCAGCGUGACCCACUCGAUCAUGAAGCUGGAAGAGAUGGUCUCAGGCCCCAUACUAUUGGUUUGGUUUUAUUUUAGUCUGAUACUUAGUCUUAAUUUCUGGAGGCAUCUAGUAGUAAACUCUCAUCUUCUGUCAUGUCUGUUAUGCCUAGGUACGAUGGCGAUCCUAUCAUCCUUUUUUGCUAAUUGAUUGUUUCAAAGUUCUUGUUUCUGGGUUGUGUUGGCCCUGAUAUUUUAUUCCUUUGACGCCUCUUAUUUUUUUCCUUGAUUUUGUUAUAUAAACUCCAAAUUGAUUGUGUUUAUAGUCCACUUGGGAAAGAAAGCACAUAUUGGAAGGGGGUCAUUUUGUCUAUGUGGUGAUCAGUAUGGAUUCUAUCUGAUUUUAUUUUGAUUUCUGCCAUUGUGACUUGGAGAUGUUCUUUUUGAAUUUGCAGCUUUUAAAAUGGCCUAAAGCUUUCAUUUUCCUUUUUCUUGUUAUUGAUUUAUGGUUUUACAGUUGGGUAUUCUUCUUUGGGGCAAAUUUCCUCCUAUUUAUCUCCAUCCCUGAAUAUUUUUAAAUUGGUGGCAUGGUAUGGAACUAUAGAGACUGAAUGUCCUUAUCGCCUGAAGUUUGCUGUUUUGAUACUAUGAGAAGUAGUUUGUCAAAUUGCAUCGCAUUGUUUCCAUGGCUCUGUAUCGUCCUGAAAUGAAACUGGUGUUUUAUGUGGUGUUCAAUGAUUGUCCUAACGAUUCCGGAUUUUGGAUCUCUCUUGUUCAACUAUUCAAAACCAAUAAUUGUUUGUGAUGUUCUUUGCUUCUUGGUUCUUUUCUUAUGAAUUUUUUGGUUUUAUUUGUUCCUUAGUGACCUUUCCUAGGUUCUCUUAUAGUCCUCUAUGGUUCAUGUAUUUGUAUUGUCUUGUCGGGGUUUAUAUUUUUUAACUAGUGUGUUUUAUUUUUGAAUCUUUUCUGUUUUGUGCUUUUUUUUAUUAUUUAGCGGAUUUAAGUUUUUAUUUUUAAUUUGUGCUACUCUGUCUUUUCACUCUCUGGAUUUCUGAAUAUGUUGCUAAUGAUGGGUUUUUCGCUUUUAAUUAUUUUUGGUGCAUCUCUCAACUAUUAAUUUUUUGGGUUUCUUAAUUUUUUAGGGAGGAUCAAUCCUUCCUGAUUCUUGAGUUAGUUUAGUUUCUUGGAAAUUGAAAUCACAGAGUUUCUUAGGGGGCCCUCUCAUUUUUUUGAUAUUUAAUACCGUGGGUAUUAUGUCUUUCUUUCUUAGCCUUUUUGUGUAUUUUUUUUGUUCAUCCUUUAUACUUGAAAGAGAUUCUCCAUUCUUCUCCUAGAAACGUUUUUGUGUUCUAAACUUUUGAAUGUAUAGGGUUGUGUUUGUAGUAUUGUAGUAGGAUGUCCAUUUUAAGGAUUUUGAUUCUAAUAAGGGCUUCAUGUUGUUAUUUUAGUUUUUCCAUUUGGACUUUGCUAUUUUUAUUGGUGCUUGCAGAGUAAAUGGUACUAAUGGUCAAUUACAGUGUUAUUAUUCUAUGAAGGUUGAGUCUGAAGAUAUUUUUGUAGUGGUUCUGGGUGUUCAUUGAAUUAAUCUUUUGAAAUUUGAACAACAAUCUGUGCUCACCACUUGUUAACUUGGAUAGUUCUUUAUGUAGGAUCUUGACUUUGUGUUCCUCAAUGACAUCCUCUUUGAUUCACUGUGUUUUUUGGCUUAUAGUGCUUGCUAUUGGGGUUGUAGUCUGUCAAAAUUGGAAGUGAUUCGAGUUCAUGGGUCUCAAAAUAAUGCCCUUAAUUUUUGGGAGAUCGGUCCAUCUGCUUCUAAAGCUGCUUGUUUACGUCUCCAGUUCUCUCUACGUUUGGAGUUUUUCGUAGCUUUUGCUAUGAACUCGAUGUUGAUGACCUUUGGGAAGUGGUUCUUUUAUUGAAUAUGCUUUAUUUUUAAUGGGCCAUUAGUUUGCUGUUCAUUUUGAUCUAUAGAUGUUUUCUGCGUCUGCAGCGUUUUUUUAUCGGAUGGGCUGAGGCACAGAUGUUUAGUUGCAGCUGAUGUCUUCAACAUGUUGAAUUGCUGGUCUCUAGUCAUGGAUUACGAUUAUUACCUCUCAUAGGGUUCAAAACUCUAAUUGAUGACCUUUGGGAAGUGGUUCUUUUAUUGAAUAUGCUUUGUUUUUAACGGGCCAUUAGUUUGCUGUUCAUUUUGAUCUAUAGAUGUUUUUUGUGUUUGCAACGUUUUUUUAUAGGAUGAGUUGUGGCACAGAUGUUUAGUUGCGACUGGUGUCUUCAACAUGUUGAAUUGCUGGUCUCUAGUCAUGGAUUCACCUAUGAUUAUUACCUCACAUAGGGUUCAAAACUCUUCUUGAUGACCUUUGGGAAGUGGUUCUGUUGUUGAAUAUGCUUUGUUUUUAGUGGGCCAUUAGUUUGUUUUUAGUGGGCCAUUAGUUUGCUGUUUUUAGUGGGCCAUUAUUACCUCACAUAGGGUUCAUGUUCUAGUUUGAGGCAUUUAUUUGGUUAUACGGUGAUGAUGAUAGCAUGAGAAUGAUUUCUUUCAUUUUAUGGGGUGAAUGAUGGUAGGUAGUCCAUCAUGGAAGAAAAUUGGCCGACUACCUCUUUGACUUUCGUCAGUGUUGGAUUUUGAGCCUAAAUUGGUGUGAUUACCUCAAUCAUAUCUCAUUUGGUUUACUUUCUUUUAGGAGAUCUUUCAUUCAAAUUAUAGUAGCGAAGUAUUUGUUGAAAUAUUGUAUGCUCAGGGCUGUGUUCAACUGUUCUCCCUGAAAUAAUUUCUUGGUGAAGACAAAUGCAAUAUUAUUAGGUGGCUGUUUGAAUUGUUCCAUCACUUUUGGGGUUUUUGCUUUUCUCCUGUUCUUUUUGUUAUUUGGUUGACAUAUUUGUUUGGGAAUUUUGGGCAGAAUCAAUUUGGCAUAGUAAUAUACGUUUGCUCUUUGAUUGUGAAGUCUUCUUAGGUACCAUGGUGAUUUGCCCUUGUGAUCGGUGGCACAUAUUGGACUGCCCCUGUAGCCGGUGGCACACAUUGGACCGUUUUAAGUUUGUUCUCUAGCAGUAUGGCUUGAUGUAUCUGGAUUCAGCUUUGGACCUUCUUUCUUGUUGGCUAGCCUGGAAUUGGUCUUUGUUAAUUAUAUGAUGAUACCCUUAUGUCCUGGCGGUUCUGUAGGUGGGGGAGCUAUAUAUGCAUUGGUUGUUUGUCCAAUGGGCUCCAUGGCAUACAUCUGCUGGUCGGGCUCUAUUUGGUUUGUUUUGAUUAUAGUAAAGUGUUUGGGAUCUCUCAUAGGUAUGUAUAAUGUAUAUACACUGGCUGUUGUUAUGUUCAGGGUUUAGGGUGCACCCUGGUGCUAGCAACCAUAUUAUGAGCUAACUUGUAUUUCAGUUUCCUGUUGCAUUUUGUUGGAUGGCUGGCAGUUAGGUUUCUAUAUUCUGUCUGACUGGAAGAUGCGGACAGUAAGAGGCGACAACAUUCAAAUGUUAGAAACAUAGUGUGCCAUUUGCAGAGCUCUGGUGAAUGGGUUUAUGCUUUAUAUCUUUGGAUGUCAAUUUCAUUGAUGAUACAUUCUGUAAUGGCUUUCUGCCUGAUCUAUGAGGUGUCUUGGUAGUUCCAUCUUUCGUGUCUAAAACAGUGACUCUCUAGUGGUGGACCAGGAAGUGCCAACACACAUGGGAUGGGGACGGGUGCACAAGGUUAUUAAUUGAGAUCUAGUUGCAAAGUGAUAGAUGGUUUGAUUUGUACCUCUUACCUUGACCUAUUUGAAUUGCAGUUGUCUGAGUUGUUUAGUGAUCCUUUAAUCUCUACGUUCUUUUAGUCACCAUUUGGUUUGAGAUGGAAUGAGGACUAAAAGUCUCAUGAGAUGUGCAUUUAUUGGUUUUUCAGAGAUCGAAGGUGGAAGAGGAGGGAUUUGGUGACGUGCAUCACUCUUUUUUAUUGGUGGUUUCUUUUAUGCAGGAUUUUCUUUAGCUGAUGUGCCUGUUGGAGCCAUUUUAUGUCAGUCCAUAACUAUUUAAGAUUAUAUUAUUCACUUUUAAUAAGCUUUUGACAAUAUGCUAUGCUUUUUUCUUCAGUAUCUGGGCUUUGCCUCUUUAUUCCAGGUUUAUUAUUUUCCUUGAGAUUUGUAUUUGUAUGGUUAGAUUAUUUUCUUUGGCUUUGGGCGGAAUCUGUUUGGUAUAGUUAUACACUUUUCCUCUUUGUUUGUAAAUGUUUAUAUGUUGAUACAGAAGUCUUAAUUUGCAUUGACUGUUCUCCUUAGGUAAGCUGAUGAUUUAGCCUUGUAAUCGGUGGUACACAUUGGACUGUUUCGAGUUUGUUAUCUGCAGUGUGGUUUGAUUUAUUUGGACCCAACUUUGGACCUUCUUUCUUGUUGUCUAGCCUAGAGUUGCUCUUUUUAAAUUAUAUGACUAUACGUUUGUGUCCUGACAAUGCUGUAGGUGGGGGAGCUAUAUAUCAAUUUAUUGUUUGCCCAAUGGGAUCCAUUGCAUAUUGCUGCUGUGUGGGCUCUAUUUAGUAUGAUUUAAUUAUAGUUUAGUGUUUUGGACCUCUCAAAGGUAUAUACAUUGGCUGCUAUGUUGGGGGUUUAGGCUGCAUCAUGGUGGUAGCAACCAUAUUGUUAGUUGAUUUGUAUUUUUAAAUUUUAUGAUUAUACGUUUGUGUCCCGACAAUGUUGUAGGUGGGGGAGCUAUAUAUUAAUUGAUUGUUUGCCCAAUGGGAUCCAUUGCAUACUGCUGUUGUGUGGGCUCUAUUCAGUAUGACUUAAUUAUAGUUUAGUGUUUUGGAUCUCUCAAAGGUAUAUACAUUGGCUACUAUGUUGGGGGUUUAUCUGCAUCAUGGUGGUAGCAACCAUAUUGGUAGUUGAUCUGUAUUUUAGUUAUUUUGCUGGAUGACUGGCAGUUGGGUUUCUAUAUGCUUUCUGACUGGAACAUGCAGACUGUUUGUGCGGACUGUUUGAGGUGACGGGAGUGCCAGGAACAUCGUUUACCAUUUAUAGAGCUCUGAUGAAUGGUCGUAAGUUAUCCUUGAUCUCUUUGGAUGUCAAUUUCAUUGAUGAUACAGUCUGUAUUGGUUUUCUGCCUGAUCUACGAGGUGUCUGGGUAGCUCCAUCUUUGGAGUCUGUAACAGUGAAAUCUCCAGUGGUGGACCAGGAGCGCCAAUACAUGGGGACGGGUUCAUUGGGUUGUUAAUUGAGAACUGGUUGCAAUGUUGAGGAUGGUUUGAUCUGUGCCUCUUGUGCUGACCUUUCAUGUGAAUUGUAGUUUUCAGAGUUUAGUGUUGGUUUGAUUUAUACGUUCUUUUAGUUACAGUUUGGUUUGAGAUGGAAAGAGGAUCAAAAGUCAAUUGAGAUAUGCAUUUUUUGGUUUUUCAGAUAUUGGAGGUGUGGAAUAAAGGAGAUUUGGUGGUGUUGUUCAUUCACUCUACUUUUUUAUUGGUGGUUCCUUUAAUUCAGGAUUUCUUUAGUUGGGCUCCUGUAGGAGCUGUUGUAUAUUGGUCCCUUACUAUACUCGAUGCUAUUCUCUCUCUUAAAAUAAGCUCUUGACACUAUGUUUUGUUUGUUACUUUGGUAUCUGGGCAUUACCUAUUUAUUCUAUGUUUAUUUUGUUUUCAUUGAGAUUUGUGUUUGUAUAGUUUGAUUAUCAUCUUUAGCUUCAACACAUUUUGUUAUCUGUUUUUUUUUAUUUGUGAUUGUGAAGUCUUAGUUUGCAAUGACUAUUCUCCUUAGGUGCCAUGGUGAUUGGUCCUUGCAGAUGGUGCCACACAUGGGGCCGUUUCGAUUUUGUUGUCUAGCAGUGUGGUUUGAUUUAUCUGGAUUCAAUUUUGAACCUUUCUUGUUGGCAAGCCUAGAGCUGCUCUCUGUUAAUUGUAUGAUGAUACUCUUGCGGCUUGGCGAUGCUGUAGGUGGGGGAGCUAUAUAUCGAUUAGUCGUUUGCUUAAUGGGCUCCAUGGCAUACGGCAGCUGGGUGGGCUCUAUUUGGUAGGUUUCUAUUCUAUAUACUUUCUUGCUGGAAGAUAUGUGGACAGUAUGAGGUGGCGAGAGUGCCAAGAACAUUCAAAUAUCAGAAACAUGUGUGCCAUUUAUGGAGCUCUGUUGAAUGGGUGUAAGUUAUCCUUGAUAUCUUUGGAUGUCAAUAUCAUGGAUGAUACACUCUAUAUUGGCUUUCUGCUUGAUCUAUGAGGUGUGUAGGUAGUUCCAUCUUUGGUGUCUGUAAUAGUGGCUCUUUUGGACAAAUGGAAUGGGGUCGUGUGCACAUGGUUAUUAAUUGAGAUCUGGGUGCAAAAUUUUGUUUGAUUUGCGUCUUCCCCUGACCUAUUUGACUUACAAUUGUCUUAGUUGUUUAGUGUUGGAUUGAUUUUUCUAGCGACCUGUAGUGUUGGAUAGAUUCUUCUAUCGACCUUUUGGUUUCAGAUGGAAUGAGCAUGAAACUUUACCUGAGAUCUUUAUUUAUUGGAUUUUCAGAGGACGGAGGUGGAAGAGAAGGGAUAUGGUGAUGUUGUCCGUUCUUUACAGUUUUGUACGGUGAUAUACUUUUUGCUCAUUGGUUGUAAAUGAUUAUAUGUUGAUUGUUAAAUCUUGAUUUGUAUUGAUUGUUCUCCUUAGGUGCCAUGAUGAUUUGCCCUUGUAAUCGGUGGGGAACACAUUGGACUGUUUCGAGUUUGUUGUCUAGCAGUGUGGUUUGAUUUAUUUGGGCCCAACUUUGGACCUUCUUUCUUGUUGUCUAGCCCAAAGUUGAUCUUUGUUAAUUAUAUGAUUAUACGCUUGUGUCU